rnacentral:lncRNA from 1 species
CGAACAAAGAUCUAGUUCGAAAAAUCCUACGGAGUCUCACCCCCAAAUGGCGCUCCAAAGCAAAUGCUAUCCAAGAGUCGAUAGGAAUCACGGACGUCAUAAUUGAUGGACUACGAGGUAAUCUUAAAGCUUAUGAAAGCACAAUUCUUAAUCCGUAUCUUAGAAGUAAGUCGAAUAUUGCCUGCAAAGCCUCAUCUUCUAAAAGAGUAGAGGUAACUGAUUCGGA